GAUGAACGCUGGCGGCGUGCCUAAUACAUGCAAGUCGAGCGAACAGAUGAGGAGCUUGCUCCUCUGACGUUAGCGGCGGACGGGUGAGUAACACGUGGAUAACCUACCUAUAAGACUGGGAUAACUUCGGGAAACCGGAGCUAAUACCGGAUAAUAUAUUGAACCGCAUGGUUCAAUAGUGAAAGACGGUUUUGCUGUCACUUAUAGAUGGAUCCGCGCCGCAUUAGCUAGUUGGUAAGGUAACGGCUUACCAAGGCAACGAUGCGUAGCCGAUCUGAGAGGGUGAUCGGCCACACUGGAACUGAGACACGGUCCAGACUCCUACGGGAGGCAGCAGUAGGGAAUCUUCCGCAAUGGGCGAAAGCCUGACGGAGCAACGCCGCGUGAGUGAUGAAGGUCUUCGGAUCGUAAAACUCUGUUAUUAGGGAAGAACAAAUGUGUAAGUAACUAUGCACGUCUUGACGGUACCUAAUCAGAAAGCCACGGCUAACUACGU
rnacentral:rRNA from 1 species